UGCCUUUAGUUAAAUUAUUAAAGGUUAGUCCUGCCCAGUGAAUAAUUUAACGGCCGCGGUAUCCUGACCGUGCAAAGGUAGCAUAAUCAUUUGCCUUUUAAUUGUAGGCUAGUAUGAAAGGAUAAACGAAGUUAAGCCUGUCUCCUUAUUAUCUUAUGUAAAUUAGCCUUUAGGUGAAGAGACCUAAAUUCAAAAAAAAGACAAGAAGACCCUAUUGAGUUUUAUAAUUUAUUUCUUAAUUUAAGAUGUAAAUUAUUUGGUUGGGGCGACCAAGGAAUAUACACAUCUUCCUUUUUAAUAAAGAUUCUUAUAUUUAUUUAUGACCCAUUAUUUAUGAUUCUCAAAACAAACUACCAUAGGGAUAACAGGCUAAUCUUUCUAGAAAGCUCAUAUUGAUAGAAAGGAUUGGCACCUCGAUGUUGGCUUAAGGUUUCUAAUUGGUGCAGAAAUCAAUUACAGUUAGUUUGUUCAACUAUUAAUACCUU
rnacentral:rRNA from 1 species